CUUUUUUACCUCUUACAUUUUCUUCUUCCAAAAGCAUUAGGUUUAGUGGCGGGAAGAUCAAAAGACCGAGAAAGAGAGAGAGAGAGAGGAAAUGGCUAAUAAGCAGAUAAGCGAAAAGGGACUGCCAAGGAGGAAUCCUUGAUAGAAUUCGAGUUGAAGGAGCGUAGAUGUGAAAAUGGCGGAUGUAGCAUCUGCCGUAGCCCUCAUCAGUGCAAUUGUGUCGCCUCCAUAUCAAACUGUGACGAUAUCAUGAUAAUAAUAGUUCUAGUUUUAUAUAGUUCAUUCAAUUUACUAGAGCAAUUUCAUACUUUUGAUUCAUCGGAAUUUGGAUUUUUUUAUUGUUCCCUUUUUAAAUUCUUGCUCUUAUUUCUGAGCAGGAUUGUUUUCUCAGGAACUUUUUAUGAGCAAUUUUGCAGUCCAUCUCCCUCUCCUGCCCUUCUCAAGGGAUUAGAUAAUGCAUUGAAUAUCAUUCAGUGUUUUGACAGAGUUGGUCCAGCUGGAAUUGGUAAAAUACAAGUAUGGCUUUGAAGUUUGAACUAACAUCAUUUUCACAGGCAUAGAAAGAUGUUUCAGCCUAGUUUGGCUUGGCCCAGUGGCUAAAGGUAUUUGUAAUUCACCUGGUUCUACUAGGUUCGUGUCCCCAUUUUCUCAUCCCUUACUUGAAGAAAAAGAAAAAGGGAAAGAUGUUUCAAAUUAUGAAAUACUUCCGGAGCAACAAGUUUUCUAGAGAUAUUUUGAAGGAGGGGAAUGGCACAGGAGGUACAAGAUGUCAUCACUUGAGUUUUCAAGGACUGAUUUUCCAUCUAUAUUGCAGAUGGCUGGUGGUAUUCUUGUUUUGCAGCCAAGAUCACUUUUUGGACAGUGAUCCUACCUUAUAUACUUUUCCGCUCUUUUCAUCAGCUCCCCAAGGUGGUAGGCAGCUUCCUGAACAGCGACCCAAAGAACUCUUAGGGAGGUGGUGCCCUUCUGCUUUGCUUCCACAACUGUUGCCUUAUCGAGCUCUGGUAUUUGCAAAGUCUCCGAGUUGAACUGGCCACAUACUCCCUUACGGACUAGUUCCUCCUCUGCCGGAUCGUCUCUAAAUAACUUGUUAGGGCUCAUUAAUGUCCAAUUUAAUGGUGAAAAUAUCAAGCUGCAAAACCAUUUUUCAAAGAAGUAAAUCUUGCAAAUAAAUAUUUAGAUUGGAAUUGCCUAAAAUGUUCUAAAAGUAAAAUAUUUGAAUAGACAAUUAUGGAACAGAGGAUUGCCUUGGAUCAAUUUUUAUAAAUGUAGUGCACAAGAUUGGUGUCAUGUUAUAAUUUUGAACUGUGUUAGAAGCUGCAAGUUAAGAAAUUGUUUUGUCCACUUUAUUUUGGACAAAUGAAGAGAAUGCCUGCUACUUUGCUAUAUGAUUGAUUCAGUGAUGAGUAAUAUUUGAUCCUUAGUGCUGAUGUCAAGGAAAUUAAAGCAGGUCAUUUUGCCUGUAUAAAAGUGAAUGAUGGGAUUAGACAGCAAUGAUUUUCGCUUUGUUUUGUU